rnacentral:rRNA from 1 species
GUUAGCCUGCAUGUCUAAGUAUAAGCAAUUAUUCCGGGAAACUGGGAAAGGGUCAAUUUAUACGGUAUUGGUUAUUUGGUAGGGCCUUACUACCUGGAUUACCGGGGGUAUUCUAGAUCUAAUACGUGCUUAAAAUCCCGGCUUGUGAAUGGGGGUAUUUAUUUCAUUAAAAACCAAUGCCCUUUGGGGUUCUCUGGGGAUUCAUGAUAACUUCUCCAAUCGGAUGGGCUUAUGCCCGCGAUUGGGCAUCCAAAAAUCUUCCUAUCUACUUUAUACGUGUGGGGAUUGGGCCCCAGGGCUGCAACGGGUUACCGUAGGAAUUUGGGUUGACCCCCCCCAAGGAACCCCUGAAACACCCUACUUCCAUCCAACCAAAGGCGGCGGAAGCCCCAACUAACCCCCCACUCCCCAGUGGGGGAGGUGGCAGCAAUAAAUACUCAUAGGGGGUUUUU